CAGUAGCCGCGGUAAUACGUAGAGUGCGAGCGUUAAUCGGAAUUACUGGGCGUAAAGCGUGCGCAGGCGGUUUUGUAAGACAGGCGUGAAAUCCCCGGGCUCAACCUGGGAAUGGCGCUUGUGACUGCAAAGCUAGAGUGCGGCAGAGGGGGAUGGAAUUCCGCGUGUAGCAGUGAAGUGCGUAGAUAUGCGGAGGAACACCGAUGGCGAAGGCAAUCCCCUGGGCCUGCACUGACGCUCAUGCACGAAAGCGUGGGGAGCAAACAGGAUUAGAUACCCCUGUAGUCCCUGUCUCUUAUAC
rnacentral:rRNA from 1 species